AGCUCCUUUCCUGGGUGGGCGGCCAGUUCCCCUGGGUCUUGCAGGACUACGUGUCCCCAGUCUUGGACCUCAACAAUCCAGCAGUCUUCCGGGACCUGUCCAAACCCAUCGGUGUGGUGAACCCCAAACAUGCCCAGCUCGUGAGGGAGAAGUGAGCACACGGGCAGGGCAGGGCUCCAUGGGCUGGAGAUGGGUGGGCGUAGGUCUUCUGCUGACUUGUGUCCCCCGUGGCUUCAGAUAUGAGAGCUUUGAGGACCCAGCAGGCACAAUCGACAAGUUCCAUUACGGCACGCACUAUUCCAAUGCAGCAGGCGUGAUGCACUACCUCAUCCGUGUGGAACCCUUCACCUCCCUGCACGUCCAGCUACAGAGCGGCCG
rnacentral:lncRNA from 1 species